GACGAACGCUGGCGGCGUGCUUAACACAUGCAAGUCGAACGGAAAGGCCCUGCUUUUGUGGGGUGCUCGAUUGGCGAACGGGUGAGUAACACGUGAGUAACCUGCCCUUGACUUUGGGAUAACUUCAGGAAACUGGGGCUAAUACCGGAUAGGAGCUCCUGCUGCAUGGUGGGGGUUGGAAAGUUUCGGCGGUUGGGGAUGGACUCGAGGCUUAUCCGCUUGUUGGUGGGGUAGUUGCUUACCAAGGCUUUGACGGGUAGCCGGCCUGAGAGGGUGACCGGCCACAUUGGGACUGAGAUACGGAGCAGACGCCUACGGGAGGCAGCAGUGGGGAAUAUUGCACAAUGGGCGGAAGCCUGAUGCAGCAACGCCGCGUGCGGGAUGACGGCCUUCGGGUUGUAAACCGCUUUCGCCUGUGACGAAGCGUGAGUGACGGUAAUGGGUAAAGAAGCACCGGCUAACUACGUG
rnacentral:rRNA from 1 species